AGAUUGAACGCUGGCGGCAGGCCUAACACAUGCAAGUCGAGCGGUAGAGAGGUGCUUGCAUCUCUUGAGAGCGGCGGACGGGUGAGUAAUGCCUAGGAAUCUGCCUAGUGGUGGGGGAUAACGUUCGGAAACGGACGCUAAUACCGCAUACGUCCUACGGGAGAAAGCGGGGGACCUUCGGGCCUCGCGCCAUUAGAUGAGCCUAGGUCGGAUUAGCUAGUUGGUGAGGUAAUGGCUCACCAAGGCGACGAUCCGUAACUGGUCUGAGAGGAUGAUCAGUCACACUGGAACUGAGACACGGUCCAGACUCCUACGGGAGCAGCAGUGGGGGAAUAUUGGACAAUGGGGCAAAGCCUGAUCCAGCCAUCGCCGCGUGUGUGAAG
rnacentral:rRNA from 1 species